rnacentral:rRNA from 1 species
GAUGAACGCUGGCGGCGUGCUUAACACAUGCAAGUCGAACGAGAAGUGAAGACGGAAACCUUCGGGCGGAAGGCUUUAUUUCGAGUGGCGGACGGGUGAGUAACGCGUGGGUAACCUGCCUCAUACAGGGGGAUAACAUUUGGAAACGACUGUUAAUACCGCAUAAGACCACAGCACCGCAUGGUGCGGGUGUAAAAACUCCGGUGGUAUGAGAUGGACCCGCGUUCGAUUAGCCAGUUGGCGGGGUAACGGCCCACCAAAGCGACGAUCGAUAGCCGGUCUGAGAGGAGGACCGGCGACAUUGGGACUGAGACACGGCCCAGACUCCUACGGGAGGCAGCAGAGGGGAAUAUUGCACAAUGGGGGAAACGCUGAUGCAGCGACGCCGCGUGAGUGAAGAAGUAUUUCGGUAUGUAAAGCUCUAUCAGCAGGGAAGAAAAUGACGGUACCUGAGUAAGAAGCCCCGGCUAACUACGUG